rnacentral:rRNA from 1 species
UACGAAGGGGGCUAGCGUUGCUCGGAAUUACUGGGCGUAAAGCGCACGUAGGCGGCUUCUUAAGUCGGUGGUGAAAUCCUGGAGCUCAACCACAGAAUUGCCUUUGAUACUGUUCGGCUCGAGACCGGAAGAGGUAAGUGGAACUGCGAGUGUAGAGGUGAAAUUCGUAGAUAUUCGCAAGAACACCAGUGGCGAAGGCGGCUUACUGGUCCGGUUCUGACGCUGAGGCGCGAAAGCGUGGGGAGCAAACAGG